AUUGAACGCUGGCGGCAUGCCUUACACAUGCAAGUCGAACGGUAACAGGUCUUCGGAUGCUGACGAGUGGCGAACGGGUGAGUAAUGCAUCGGAACGUGCCCAGUUGUGGGGGAUAACUGCUCGAAAGAGCAGCUAAUACCGCAUACGACCUGAGGGUGAAAGCGGGGGAUCGCAAGACCUCGCGCAAUUGGAGCGGCCGAUGUCAGAUUAGGUAGUUGGUGGGGUAAAGGCCUACCAAGCCAACGAACUGUAGUUGGUCUGAGAGGACGACCAGCCACACUGGGACUGAGACACGGCCCAGACGCCUACGGGAGGCAGCAGUGGGGAAUUUUGGACAAUGGGCGCAAGCCUGAUCCAGCAAUGCCGCGUGCAGGAAGAAGGCCUUCGGGUUGUAAACUGCUUUUGUCAGGGAAGAAAUCCUCUGGGUUAAUACCCCGGGGGGAUGACGGUACCUGAAGAAUAAGCACCGGCUAACUACGUGCCAGCCGCCGCAGUAAAAC
rnacentral:rRNA from 1 species